CCUACGUGAGGCAGCAGUGAGGAAUAUUGGUCAAUGGACGAGAGUCUGAACCAGCCAAGUAGCGUGAAGGAUGACUGCCCUAUGGGUUGUAAACUUCUUUUAUAUGGGAAUAAAAUGUUCCACGUGUGGGAUUUUGUAUGUACCAUAUGAAUAAGGAUCGGCUAACUCCGUGCCAGCAGCCGCGGUAAUACGGAGGAUCCGAGCGUUAUCCGGAUUUAUUGGGUUUAAAGGGAGCGUAGAUGGGUUGUUAAGUCAGUUGUGAAAGUUUGCGGCUCAACCGUAAAAUUGCAAUUGAUACUGGCAGUCUGGAGUACAGUUGAGGUAGGCGGAAUUCGUGGUGUAGCGGUGAAAUGCUUAGAUAUCACGAAGAACUCCGAUUGCGAAGGCAGCUUACUAAACUGCCACUGACAUUGAUGCUCGAAAGUGUGGGUAUCAAACAGGAUUAGAUACCCCAGUAGUC
rnacentral:rRNA from 1 species